rnacentral:rRNA from 1 species
AUUGAACGCUGGCGGCAGGCCUAACACAUGCAAGUCGAACGGUAACAGGAAGAAGCUUGCUUCUUUGCUGACGAGUGGCGGACGGGCGAGUAAUGUCUGGGAAACUGCCUGAUGGAGGGGGAUAACUACUGGAAACGGUAGCUAAUACCGCAUAACGUCGCAAGACCAAAGAGGGGGACCUUCGGGCCUCUUGCCAUCGGAUGUGCCCAGAUGGGAUUAGCUAGUAGGUGGGGUAACGGCUCACCUAGGCGACGAUCCCUAGCUGGUCUGAGAGGAUGACCAGCCACACUGGAACUGAGACACGGUCCAGACUCCUACGGGAGGCAGCAGUGGGGAAUAUUGCACAAGGGGCGCAAGCCUGAUGCAGCCAUGCCGCGUGUAUGAAGAAGGCCUUCGGGUUGUAAAGUACUUUCAGCGGGGAGGAAGGGAGUAAAGUUAAUACCUUUGCUCAUUGACGUUACCCGCAGAAGAAGCACCGGCUAACUCCGUG